UUCAAAGAAGAAGACACAGUUUCAUUUUGAUUCUAAAAAUUAUGCUCUCAACUUUGAUAAAGGAGAUGACUAUGGAAAUGACAAAUUUUUGUAAAUUUCUCAUCUCAAUUUGCUGGUCCUUUUAGGAGAAAAUGAGAUAAUGAGAAGAAGAUAUAGGGAAUGUUUGAAUUGCUUGAUUUUGAAGUGAAGAGUCGAUAUUGAUUUUGGGUAGGUGAAUUAUGUGUUUUUCUUACUGGGUUUCUUUAUAUUUUCUUGAAUUUGGUUUGUCUCUGAAUCCUUAACCCAACUAGGUUGAUGUCUAUUUGCUUUUGAAAAUUGCUUGCUUGAUGUGUCAAAUCUAAUUGCAAGAAGAAACAGAGAACCGAUUAAGGGGUCAAAUUUGAAAUCCUCAAAUUUUAAUGUUUAUGUUACUAAAAAUAUAUGAUCUUUGAAAUAUCGGGGUUGUACUUUUAUAGUUAUGGUUAGUAAUGGAAUGAAUAUUAGGAAACCGGGAGGUAAAAUUAGGAAGAAGAAAAUAUAGUGGGAGAUGGUAAUGAUGGCAGAGAAAAUGAAGGAGAAAGUAAAGAAAGAAAAGUUGUUUGCAAAAUAAGGGAAAAAGUAUUAUUCGGAUCAGUUCACGCGCCUAAGGAAAGUGUGGAACACCUCUUUUGCCAUGUCAACUAAUUGUGUUUAAUUGGGAACCUUUACAUUGUAUUGAAGUGUCAAUAGGAACAAAAUCUAGUUAAAGUGCUAAAAUAAAAAAUUGGGACAAGUUUAGGGGUCUGCCUAUGUAUUCGGCCAAUAUUAAAACCAAUAUAUCUCCUUUAAUACAAGGUCAAAUGGAGUGAUUCAAGAGCCUAACUUGACUAAAAUUUCACAAGAAAUUCAUUGGAUGCAUCAAAUGUAAGUUUGGGAAUUAUUUGGCAUAAGAAUCGAGGCAGAAUAGAUGGAAGAAAAAUAUAUAUAAUAAGGGUUUGUUUAUUUUGUCAUUUUGAGUUUGGGAGCUCGCAUUUGGGCGAUUUUGGAGGCGCUUUUCACCAUAUGUAUUGGGGUAAGUGUUCUCUACUCGGGUUUGGUUAUAUUUCAUGAAUCCAUCAUUAUUUUCGGCCUUUGUUUGAUAAAGUGAAAUUUGGGGAUUUUUGCCUAAAGAUUCAUAAAGUGAAUUUUUAAGUUUUGAACAUCGAUUCAGAGUUGGAAUUGGAUGAAACCAGUAUGGUUGAACUCAUAAUUGAAUGGGUUGUCAGAUUUUGUAAGUUUUAUCGUGUUUCGAGAUGCGGGCACAGGUUGGCUUCUUGGCCAAUUUUGCGGUUUUGACUAAAGAUUUGACCUUUUUCAAUUGGGAUUGGUUGCUUUAGCAUUGUUUGAUGUAUUUGAGUUGUUUUUGAUUAGGUUCGAGCCGUUCGGAGGUUGGAACACGGGGGAUGGCAUUAUUGAAGCAUCGCUUGGCUUGCUUGGUAUUGGAAUUGGCUUGCUUGAGGUAAGUAAUGAUUGUAAAUCUUGUCUGAGGGUAUGAAACCUCGGAUUUCACAUUGCUUUACUAUUUUGAGGUGACACACAUGCUAGGUGAUGGGCGUGCAUCGUUAGGGAUUGUGACUUGGUCCAUCCUGUAAUAAUUAUAAAGUUGUGUAUUUGACUUAAAUUAUAUGGUACUUAUGUGUUUUAGAAAGAAUUUCCUAUAAAUUGGGUUGAAUGCCAUAUUUGGGCCUUGUGCUAGAGCUGUUUAGACCCUUAGGGAUUUUUCCUUAUUAUCCUCUCACUGUUUUUGAUUUAAGAUCUAUACUCAGUCAUACUGUGUUUACUGAUUUCAUAACUGAGUCUUUAUUACUCCGUUUUGAUGCAUAAAAUGAUAUUUUUGGGCUGAACACCCUAUUUUACUGAUAGCCCAAGUGUCUUGAGAGGUUUCUAAUUGAGUGAGGCCGAGGGCCUGUGUUGUGAGGAUAUUAUGGGAUCGGGCUGCACGCCGCAUCAUGUUAUUGAUUCAUGAUUUUUGUGAGGCCACAUGCAUUAUUUAUUUAUGCCACGAGGUGGCUUGUCAUAAGGCCGAGGGCCUGAUUGAUUUAUGCCAUGAGGUGGCUUGUUAUAGUGCUUGGGCUGUAGGGGCCCCAUGUGAGUGCGAGUACCCUGAGAGAGUGAUAUGAUGUUUUGCCCGAGGGGUUGUUAUUGAUUUAUAUUGUGCCCGAGGGGCUGUUUACCAGCGAUUGUAAGGUAAUGCCUGAGGGGCUGUAUAUGUGUGACUGUGAGGUUUGCCCGAUGGGCUGUUUAUGAUUCAUGUUUGCCCGAGGGAGCUGUUCACGAGUGAUGUUCGCGGAGGGGUUAUUCUUGAUUUACGUUGUCCGAGGGGCUGUAUACGAGUGACUUUUGCUUGAGGGGCUAUUUAUGUUUUCAUCAUUUUUACUCACUGUUUCAUCACAUCGUUGAAAGAUGUUUUAAAUGGUUUUACUAAGCUAGAUUUAAAUGAGCUAAGUUGAUUUAAAACCCUGAUUUUAAAAGCCUGCUGUAUUUUACUGAGAUUUCAUGAUAUGAACUAUAUAUGUUUUAUUGCUCGUCACUACUGCUCAGUCUCAAUUUACUUUUAUUACUUACUGAGUUGGCGUACUCACAUUACUCCCUGCACUUUAUGUGCAGAUCCAGGUAUUUCUAAACCCGGUAACGGGUGUUGAUUACUCAGUGGCAGGUCCAUCAGAGUUAAUAAGGUAGCUACCUGGCGAUCGCAACCCUUCUUUUCUUCAUCCCUAUCCUCCUUUAGUUGUAUUCAGUUAUUUUCAGGCUAAGUUAGUCUUGAUGUUGUCAGACGGUUAUAGUAGAUGCUCCUGACUAGUGACACCUCGAUGUCGGGCUUUCUUUCUACACUGUUGUUUUGAUUUAAACUCCUUAUGCAGGUUUAUUGUUAAAUAGCUUUGGUUUUGUCUUAAAAUGAACAUAUUGA
rnacentral:lncRNA from 1 species